CGCUGAACCAGUUUCUCGGCGCCAUUUUGUCUGGGCAGCGGUGGCUGCAGGUCUACCGUAUUUUAUGUUUCUGGCGAGACGAGAGCGGAAUCUUUAUCCCGUGGAUUCAUUUAACUGCGGCAACCAUCCACCGUUCCCUACAGGACAGCACCUAGUGAAGAUCGGAAGAGUAGCGAUCUGUCAGAAAGGUCAGUUGGAAGCGGUAGUUGUCCGGUGGACUGGGGGAUGGCGCAGCUCUAGCGGCACCGGCACCGGAAGUGAGGGGGCCGCUCGGCAGCCAUAGCAGAUUGGUCUGAAGAAAAGGACAGUUAAGUGACAAACAUCCGGAAGUAUUACUGAGCUCCCUGGCUCUUUGUCCACCCUCAUGUUGGAAAUGGUGAGAGAACUGAUGCUGAAUCAUAAGGUUCCUUUGAGAAUGAUAGAAAUGAAAGCAAAGGGAUAGCCUUACCAGAUAAGUGCUUUUUUAUCUGAAUGUAUUCGGUUUCUUCCAUAAGAUGGCUUUAGUAGUGCUUAGUUGUCUUUAACUUCAUUUGAAACAAUUUUGUUAGAUUGUAUUGUGAUAGCUGUCAUAUCAGCGUACUUUUUUAAAAAAAGCAUCAAAAUUGGUGAAUUUUUGUGUAGCCAUUUUAAUAUUGAAGAUGGAAGGAAAAAAACAGCAGCAUAUUAUGCUUUAUUCAAGAAAGGUUAAAACACAACUGAAAAGGCAAAACAUUCGUGCAGUGUAUGGAAAAGGUGCCGUGACUGAACGUGUCAAAAGUGGUUUGCAAAGUUUUGUGGUAGAGAUUUCUGACUGGACGAUGCUCCAUGGUCGGGGAGACCAGUUCAAGUUGAUAGCAGUCAGAUCGAGAUGUAAAUUUCAGAACAAUCAACGUUAUACCACGCAGGAGAUAAGCCGACACACUCAAAAUCUCCAAAUCAGGUGUUGAAAAUCAUUCGCACCAGCUUGGUUAUGUUAAUCGCUUUGAUGUUUGGGUUCCACGUUAAGCGAAAGAAACCUUGACCAUAUUUCUGCACUGCGAUUCUCUACUUACGUAACGAAAACAUUCCGUUUUUAAAAACAAAUUGUGAUGGGCAAUGAAAAUUGGAUACUGUACAAUAAUGUGGAAUAGAAGAGAUGUUAUGGAAGAAUCCGAACAAACUUCUUUGGCCAACCCAAUAUUAUUUGUAAUCUCUAAACCAAAACUUUAUUCUUUAAAACGUUUGUAAUUUUCUUUCCUAGGUACCAGUAUCGAGGUUUACAGUAAUAAGGUAUUCAGUCUUUGCUGAAAAUAAAUUUGUUAUCUUGUCAAAGUAAAAUGUGCCAGCCAUUUUUUCCCCCCAGAGGCUAAUCAUGCCUCAGUGGUGCAGUUACUAAGUGCCCCUACAGCUGAACCUAGAUUAUUUAUUAAUCCUUUAUAUAGUUUUAUGAAAAUCAAUUGCUUUUCUUUUCUAAUAGCUGAGAAGCUUAGUUUUAGAUUUAUCUGAUAUAUGUUUUUGAGGUGGCUUAGCUGCUCAGAUUUAAGUUUCUUGAGAACCAUUGUCUGUUUUUUUAAAGAGGAUUAUUAGCUAUUCCAAUGUGAAUUUAAGAACGGAGGUACUCACAGUACAAUGAAAAUAGAAGAUUCAUGUGCCAUUCAUACUUUGGAAGUUGGAAAAGUAUAGAAUGGUCAGACUGGCUUAGGGAUACUCAACUUAUUAUCCAUCCAGCUUAAGUUGUUUAGGUGUCUGCCCAAGGCCACUGGUGUCAUUCUGAGUUAAAUAUACGGGUUGUAAGAUGUAGCAGGUAAUUUUACAUAAAAGCAGCCAUGGUAAUGAGAUACUGCUCUCGAGUUGUUUGUAUAGUAGUUAAGUAUUCUGGUAUAAUGAUUUGCUGUUUAAACUAUACAGAUGCUCAAAGUCCGGCAACACCCUGCUGCUAAUAAACUCAGUGACCUCAGGAAAGCAUGACAGUUGAAUGGAGUGAUACUGGCAUGAGGCCAAUAAAGGGUGUGUGUAUGCCUGGCACGCUUGGCCUGACUUCAGACUGUUUCUUCCAAUACUCAUUUUUCCACUCAGUAUCAGUUCUGUUUCCACAUGCAUUCUAAUUUAUUUUUAAGCAUAAAAUGUGGGUAUUUUUAUUUCAACUUUACAGAUCAAGAAAUUCUUUUAAGUGACAGGAUAGGGGCUUUCUGAAUCCUUAAAUCCACUCCUCAAAGUAAAAAAAAAAUAAAAU